UACGAAGGGGGCUAGCGUUGCUCGGAAUCACUGGGCGUAAAGCGCACGUAGGCGGAUUCCUAAGUCGGGGGUGAAAUCCUGGAGCUCAACUCCAGAACUGCCUUCGAUACUGGGAAUCUUGAGUCCGGAAGAGGUGAGUGGAACUGCGAGUGUAGAGGUGAAAUUCGUAGAUAUUCGCAAGAACACCCAGUGGCGAAGGCGG
rnacentral:rRNA from 1 species